CAAAAAUGCAAGAAGUUUAUGAAGUUGCAGCCUGGUUUCAUUAAUCAGAGAUUUCAUUAAUCAAGGUGAAUAUAUGAACUGUCUGAUGUAUUUUCUGAAAUUGAACACUUGGGCUUGAUUUGGGUCAGACCUAUUAUUGUUGCCCCCUUGGUGGCAUAUCUCCCUGUAUUCUGAUUAGUCUCUCUUUUUUGUAGUCCAAAAUAGGUUUGGACUGCCCCCUUCAGCACAAAUACACGUUAUUGAUGAUUCACAAAAGGAGGUGGAGGAGGAUGUCCUGCUGGACCUGAUUGAGGCCAGUCCAGACCUGUGCCUCACAAUCUUUCUACAGUCUCACAAUGUUUUCAAGUAACAUGAAUGUAUAGAUUGAUUGCUUUGAUCCAUUGUUUGUGUUCAGACUUUUUCCUGCCGGCUGUCUAACAUCUACUUCGUGCAUAGACACAUUAUCCCUCUCGUCAAGUGAUUUAGACCUGAGAUCUCCAGAAAGGCUAUCUAAAAAGGUCAAAACAAACUCAGGAGAUUUAGCCAUAACUGAUAUUGGAUGUUGAUAAUCCCAUUUCUCUGUUUGGUCUUCAUGGAGAUACUGACAGCAUAAAACAACCCGAAAUUGUUUAACUUUUCUCUUGUCUUAAUAGAUGGUCCGAGAUGCCCUGACUAGUAGACCUGGUGGGUAAGACAUAUUAGAUGUUGAAGUUGAGUUGAUCCACUUUGUUUUAGGUAAAUCGGGACUUUUUGCUGAUGUUUGACAAUGAAACAACCUCUAAAUUCAUUGAAAAGUUGGACACUGUAUUGAAGCCUAAAGUCAUCAAAUUGGCAAAAUCCCGACAACGACCACCGAUUUGUGUCGCCUGCUGAAAACUGCCAGAGAAUGACAGCGAAACCAACUGGGACAAUGAUAUGUCCUCCAUGCUGCUGCUGCUUCAUCUCCUCCUACCACCAGCAGGAGGGACGAGGACCAAGAUCAGUGCCAGCGAUGCUGUGGGCAGACUCGUGCACUCUCAUAAGUCAUGCUGCAGCAUUGAAGACCAUCUUGAUGUGAGCCAUGGUCAACAGCCAUACCUCCUUGCCGUCAGAAGAAGACAGAGCAAGAUUGACAACUACUACAUUGGGGUGGACAAGAGGCUUGUUCACUGCCAGGCAGCUAGUGGUCUGUGUGCGUUUGAACUGUUCAAAAGUCCACUUUGUCUUUAACCUGAUGUAUGUUGAUGCGCUUGUCAACUUCUAUACAUUUGUGCAGACAACCAUCUACAACAUUGAUGUAGACAAAACAAGAGAGACCCCUAGCGUGAUAGUUGUGGACAAAACGUCCAAACUAUAUAAAUGUAUACUACGGUGCUUUGUUGCACAGAA